UACGUAGGUGGCAAGCGUUUGUCCGGAAUUAUUGGGCGUAAAGCGCGCGCAGGCGGUUCUUCAAGUCAGAGGUGAAAGCCCAGAGCUCAACUCUGGAAUGGCCUUUGAGACUAGAGAACUAGGGUACGGGAGAGGUGAGUGGAAUUCCGAGUGUAGAGGUGAAAUUCGUAGAUAUUCGGAAGAACACCAGUGGCGAAGGCGGCUCACUGGCCCGUUACCGACGCUCAGGCGCGACAGCGUGGGGAGCAAACAGG
rnacentral:rRNA from 1 species